rnacentral:rRNA from 1 species
AGAGUUUGAUCCUGGCUCAGAUUGAACGCUGGCGGCAUGCCUUACACAUGCAAGUCGAACGGCAGCAUGGGUGCUUGCACCUGAUGGCGAGUGGCGAACGGGUGAGUAAUGCAUCGGAACGUACCCGGAAGUGGGGGAUAACGUAGCGAAAGUUACGCUAAUACCGCAUAUUCUGUGAGCAGGAAAGCAGGGGAUCGCAAGACCUUGCGCUUUCGGAGCGGCCGAUGUCGGAUUAGCUAGUUGGUGGGGUAAAGGCCUACCAAGGCGACGAUCCGUAGCGGGUCUGAGAGGAUGAUCCGCCACACUGGGACUGAGACACGGCCCAGACUCCUACGGGAGGCAGCAGUGGGGAAUUUUGGACAAUGGGCGCAAGCCUGAUCCAGCCAUGCCGCGUGAGUGAAGAAGGCCUUCGGGUUGUAAAGCUCUUUCGGUGGGGAAGAAAUUGCUUGGGUUAAUACCCUAAGU